rnacentral:rRNA from 1 species
CGACCGGCGCACGGGUGAGUAACACGUAUCCAACCUGCCGAUAACUCGGGGAUAGCCUUUCGAAAGAAAGAUUAGUAUCCGAUAGCAUAUCAAGAUCGCAUGAUCUUGAUAUUAAAGAAUUUCGGUUAUCGAUGGGGAUGCGUUCCAUUAGUUAGUUGGCGGGGUAACGGCCCACCAAGACGACGAUGGAUAGGGGUUCUGAGAGGAAGGUCCCCCACAUUGGAACUGAGACACGGUCCAAACUCCUACGGAAGGCAGCAG